rnacentral:rRNA from 1 species
GAUGAACGCUAGCGGCAGGCCUAACACAUGCAAGUCGAGGGGGAAGUUACUUUCGGGUGACUGAGACCGGCGUACGGGUGCGUAACGCGUAUACAAGCUGCCUUUCACUGGGGGAUAGCCCGAAGAAAUUUGGAUUAAUACCCCAUAGUAUAUAGGGACGGCAUCGUUUUUAUAUUAAAGCUUAGGUGGUGAAAGAUGAGUAUGCGUUCUAUUAGCUAGUUGGAGAGGUAACGGCUCCCCAAGGCGAUGAUAGAUAGGGGUUCUGAGAGGGAUGUCCCCCACACUGGUACUGAGAUACGGACCAGACUCCUACGGGAGGCAGCAGUGAGGAAUAUUGGACAAUGGUCGGAAGACUGAUCCAGCCAUGCCGCGUGCAGGAUGAAGGUCUUAUGGAUUGUAAACUGCUUUUGUAAGGGAAGAAUAAGGGCUACGCGUAGUUUGAUGACGGUACCUUACGAAUAAGCAUCGGCUAACUCCGUG